rnacentral:rRNA from 1 species
GACGUAGGGCGCGAGCGUUUGUCCGGAUUUAUUGGGCGUAAAGAGCUCGUAGGCGGCUUGUCGCGUCGAAUGUGAAAUCUCAGGGCUCAACUCUGACAUUGCAUUCGAUACGGGCAGGCUAGAGUUCGGUAGGGGAGACUGGAAUUCCUGGUGUAGCGGUGAAAUGCGCAGAUAUCAGGAGGAACACCGAUGGCGAAGGCAGCUCGCUGGGACGGUACUGACGCUGAGACGCGAAAGCGUGGGGAGCGAACAGG